rnacentral:rRNA from 1 species
GACGAACGCUGGCGGCGUGCCUAAUACAUGCAAGUCGAACGAAGCUGUUUUAACUGGUGCUUGCACCGACUUAAACAACCGAGUGGCGAACGGGUGAGUAACACGUGGGUAACCUGCCCCAAAGCGGGGGAUAACAUUUGGAAACAGAUGCUAAUACCGCAUAAUCACAGAAACCACAUGGUUUCUGUGUCAAAGAUGGUUUCGGCUAUCACUUUGGGAUGGACCCGCGGCGUAUUAGCUAGUUGGUAGGGUAAAGGCCUACCAAGGCGACGAUCCUUAGCUGGUCUGAGAGGAUGAUCAGACACACUGGGACUGAGAAACGGCCCAGACUCCUACGGGAGGCAGCAGUGGGGAAUAUUGGACAAUGGGGGCAACCCUGAUCCAGCCAUGCCGCGUGUGUGAAGAAGGCCUUCGGGUUGUAAAGCACUUUCAGCGGGGAGGAAGGCGUCAUGACUAAUAUUCAUGGCGAUUGACGUUACCCGCAGAAGAAGCACCGGCUAACUCCGUGCCAGCCGCCGCCGUAA